rnacentral:tRNA from 1 species
ACUUAAGUAGUUUAAAAAAAAUUUUGAUUUGUGGUGUCAUAGAUGUAAUGAUUUACCUUAAGUU